GUUGACUCCGACUCAUGACCCUCUACUUUACCAAGCAUGAUGUCCUUCUCCAGAGACUGGUCCAUCCUGAUAGCACGCCCAAGGGUGGAUUAAAAAAGUGUGUUGAACAAGGAGCUCACCCAGAGAAGCCUGCAAAUUUUGCAGAUGUAAGUGGCAUGCAGCUGGCUUGUCCUGCCGUGAUUUGCUUACCCAUAUAUGGUGUUACAUGAACUAAGUAAAGAGGAGCUGAAGCUGGGGAGUGGGCAAAGCAAUUUUUAGCACAGUCUCACUGUCAGCAAGGAGAAUUGCUUUUCAAAAAUCUAGAGAAUCCUUGAUGAAAACGUUCUCCGACAUGCUCAACAUUGCCUAGGGAUGAAUUCUUCCAGAAACUGUGGGCCGGGAGAAUAUUUCCUCUUUAUUUUGAAGUUUUAUAGCAUUUUGUGGACUACUUUAUGUAAUGUGAAGCUCUUACACUGCCCUCUGCUGUUUUCUGAGCUGAAUAACCAGGAAGUUCACAAG